rnacentral:rRNA from 1 species
CCUACGGGCGGCAGCAGUAGGGAAUAUUGCUCAAUGGGGGAAACCCUGAAGCAGCAACGCCGCGUGGAGGAUGAAGGUUUUAGGAUUGGAAACUCCUUUUGUUAGAGAAGAUAAUGACGGUAUCUAACGAAUAAGCACCGGCUAACUCCGUGCCAGCAGCCGCGGUAAUACGGAGGGUGCAAGCGUUAUUCGGAAUAACUGGGCGUAAAGAGCGCGUAGGCGGGAUAGCAAGUCAGAUGUGAAAUCCUAUGGCUUAACCAUAAAACUGCAUUUGAAACUGUUAUUCUAGAGUAUGGGAGAGGUAGGUGGAAUUCUUGGUGUAGGGGUAAAAGCCGUAGAGAUCACGAAGAAUUCUGAUUGCGAAGGCGACCUGCUAGAACGUAACUGACGCUGAUGCGCGAAAGCGUGGGGAGCAAACAGGAUUAGAUACCCGGGUAGUC